UUAUCUCCAUGUUUAUUAUUUACCAUAACCAAUUUAUUUGAUAUCCAAUUUUUCGUUAUGUCCAUGACAAGAAUUGUUAAUUAGGCAUGCUGACUCUUUUGUUUGAUCUAUUGUUCGAUCGAAAAAUUGAAAUGUUAGAAGCAUGUCUAUUUUAUGCAGUUAAUUCCUAAUUAUCUACUUAAAAUUCGUUGGGUUGUUCUUUUGCAAAGCAAAAACAGCGUGAAAAACGUUUCUCCAGACAACAUAUGUUUGCGUGACCGUUUGACAUAGUUAUACCAAAAUAUCAGGUUUUAGUUUAUACGUGGGAGUUUGAAUACCACUGUCUAGAUGACACAUUCAACAAAUCAAUUUAAAGUUUUCUUCGAUAGUAACAGUCAAAAGCUUGAAGUAUGAUUUCUUUUACAAAUCGUAUUCAUAGCAACGCAACAACAUCAAUUUUUUAGCGUUGAAUUUGCAAGCAGUGGACUGGUAUAUAUAAAGUAUCAUAAUGGGAAAAAGCCAAGUACUUAAAGUGCAGUAGAUUGACAAAUAUUAGUGAAAUUAAAAUGAAUUACGGCUCUAUAAGGAAAAAGUAAACAUAAACAUACACCAGAUGAAAGUUUUGAAAAAUACAUUUGCUGUGUCGAGUUAUUAAGGGUAUAGAGUAGUCCGCCAAUAACAAGAUGUCGCCACUUUUCUUCGUCUUUAUUGGUUACAAAUAUAAAUAAAAUUGUCAAUUAAGAUACCUUUUUGUAUAGUUUAUACAGAUAUCUAUGUGUAAAACUAAUUGACCAAGUAAACCCUACCCAUAGACAGAUAGCAAAUGAAAUCGCGAGCUGUUACUUGGAGUAGUUGCAUCUUCACGUAAAGGGAUUGGAAAAUAUUCUCCAGCAUUUGUUCUGUUCCUUCAGCAAAAGCGAGCAAAAGCAAUUUUUGCUGUGGCAAUAGUUGCUUGUUUUGUUUUCUUGCGACAAAAACAAGAGGAACAAGGAAGUGACUUACUUUUGUCUCAUACAACGCUACGGAAAUAUCGAGCAUUGCUCAAAAUCUAGUUUGAAUUGAAUCAUGCUAAAGUUCUCGUAAUAACUCAGAUGCUCGAUUGAUUUUUGCUAGACCAGGACAAGUUGGUUUAGCUUUCAUUUUUAGACGAGAUAAACACUCCUCUACUUUGUGUCGUAUUUGGAGAUGAGAUGUUUUGCCUUAAUCUGUUCAUUCCAUGUUAAAUUGUCCAGGAUUUCUUAAAACUAUAACAAUGAUGGUUCCAGAAUACAUUCAUACAACCUAGAUAUUAUUACAAAACAUGACGAAAUCCAAAAUCAAGUACAGGGAAAUCUUAUGUUGAAGUGAAUCUAAAUGAAAAUCCAGCUCUAAUAAUCACUUAUGUCACAGAGAUUCAAAUGCAGAUUCUAUUGAAUAUAAGCUUAUUUCCCUUUAAACCAUUUUUACCUAUUAAUUAUACAGAUUUUGUUUAUGUAAGAGUGCUACUACUGUUUUCUUUCUGUUUUAGAAAUCCAGUGACCUAGAUUGAUCCUAUUAUCCUGUCCUAACUAUUUGAAUGAUUCAAUAAAAGAUCAAAUUUAUCUUUUCAAACAAAACCAGAUUUUCAGUGAUUGUUUGGUUUGAAUAAUGCUAUAGCUGUCGAGAUCUUGCAUUCUCCAAGCUUUUUUCCGUGUCGCUAUGGAAAACAACUUCUAAAGUUUUGAAAAUAUAUAUUGAUGUAUUUUGCAAAAAAAAUCAAUUCUAUCAAAUCCACUCGAAAACUGCUGUUCAACUAGAUCUACGAGACUACAACUAUUUUUCAUUAACAUUGCCCAGCGUGAUUUUAUAAGCAAAAAGCAAUCAAAAAGUUUCUAAAAAUCAUCGAGUAGUGUCUCUAUCUGAUUGUCUAAAUUUCCUCAGAACUGUAAAUACCAACGAAACCAAACUUUCACCAGUUGAUCAACAGCAACUUUUAAAUCAUUAAAUAAAUGAAGCAACAAGGUUAUCCGCAAGGGCUAUGUUUGCAAAGGUUAUGUACACGGCUACGUUUUCUUUGUUUCUUUAACGAGGGCUUAUUCCCCAUAACCCUACAUUUUGUUUAUUCUCCUAUUGGCUUUUGCUGCUAGAAGAGAUUGUUGAGAAGGCAGUUAAUGUUGUGUAAGGCUGUUUAUGCUGAUGAUUCCGCUCUAUUUGAUGCCAAUAGGGCGAUAUUUAGCGGUGAUAUUUUCAGAUCAUCCAGUACUUAUAAGUGUAGCAGUCGCUAAGGGUCCUGUACGUGUAAAGAUUUUUCGGAUAAAGUUGAUAACUAAUGAUUUUGCAAUGUUAAUUAGGGAUGAAGUUCGUUAGGGAUGGUUUUGUGGUUUUCAUGUUUUGGAAAAAGCCAGACAUUGCAAGACGUGCUGAAUUGCGUUGCUGGUUCACACAGGUGAUUGUCUUUCAUCCUUCUAAAGCUUUCAAAUCUGAAAACAUGCAGCCCCUUUCUUCUUCUUGGACAAUUUCUAGUGUAAAACCAAAUCAUAUUUUUGUACAAAAGACGUAGGCGACAAUGACACCGCAUAAAAUAUCAGCUUUGGCGUUAUGUGGGAUGUUGGAAAACCAAGCUUGGGUUUGUUUAUGUUUUGAGAUACUUAGUGCUUUUAAUGCUUUUGAAAGGUGUUUGCUGUUAGGUUCUCCUUUAAUUUAUCACUUGUCUUGAGCUAAUGAGCUCUUUAUAAAAAUUUUCUGCCUAAUCUUUCUGCUUCAAGAAUGCCGCAAACGUUUCCUUUUGCCUGUUCUAUUUGGUACCUCUACAAUAGAAAAAACGAGUCAAAGCGAACAGCGUACAAUCACAGCAGGGAAAGUUUCUCUUUUUUGUCCUGCUGAAAACCAUGAAAACCUUAAAGUGAAUGAAAGCUGACUUUUAAAAGACCAUAUCUGGAUCUUUCUUAUUGCAGUUCAACAAGAUUGUGCUUAGCAAUACAACAGUUAUUUUGUCUUCAGACUUCAACAUUUUUUUAGAUUUGGUUGAUUUAGCAAACUCGAUGCUAAUUUGAUUUCAGUGAUUGCCAGAACCACACAUCAACCAAAAUGUAUGCUGCUACAAAUUCACUGCACUUUUAGAUAUCGCUCGAAAGUGAACCAUCUCUUUGUUUUAAACCAAUGCUUAGAAGACGACAGCUGAUUUGAGGAGAUUCUGCGUCUGCAUUUAAGUUCAAACGUACAUUCCGAGGGCUAAUGAAAAGCUAUAAAGCUUACGAUCAUUAAUUUGUCUUGAAAUUUUGGUUUUUAUCGAACCUUUUUACUUGCUAGAGUUUACUUUUGUCUUUUGGAUUUAGAGAAAUUUCAAAUAUUUUGGUAUUUUUUGUCAAAGUUUUUAAAACCAAUGUUUAAUCCAUGAUUUGAAAAGUAAAUUUCCAAACAAUGCAAAUCAUCGAAAUAGCCUGAAAUCAGUGCAAUUCACCAACCAAGAAGCUGAUGCUCGACGACAAUGGAAGAUAAUGGAUGUAAAAAUUUGAAUACCUAUUGGGAAAUAACCUCUGAUCGUUAAUAUGCGUGCAAGCCUGAAUUAGAAAUGCUGGUGAAGAAGUGUUUUUUAUUGUUUAUGGGAUUAUGACAGCUAAAUACUCAGCGUAAGCUACAUUCUUCUACACGGCUUUGUGUCAAGUAACAUAGCAUGUUAGAAUAUACGCUCAAAAUAUUUGGUCAGCUAAAAAGUAUUUUUUAAUUCAUUUUUUGUUGACGAGCUUUCUAGAGCAAGAAUGUAAAAUUAUGCAGCAUUGAUUGUGCACUUGUUUAACUUUAUACAUUACGACUGUCUGUGAAGUGCAAUACAAGGAAGGAGGGCAAUUGGCCCAUUUAGUUCCUGUGACCUUCGUUUGUUUUGGAAAAAACUAUUCCCGGCGAUCUUCCUUUGAAGACCAAAUGCUAGAUCUUCCAGCCAAAGUCAUAGGAAAGGCUAUGACGUCAUAUCCUCCUCGUGGCAAAACUCACCUACCGCUUAGCUAAGGACAAAUCCCAAACAAAUUGUUUAUCUGUUUAUAUUAAUUUUAAACCUGAAACAUAUUUCAUAUCCCUUCGAAUUUUUAAUAUAUUACAAAUAUUUGAAAUGUAUCAAAUCCUAACUGAACGAAAUGAUCCUGUUCCAUUUGAAAAUUUUCUACAGUGCAUGGCACCUACAGUGUACUGUUAGCUGCUUUGAUGCCCUGUGUUUUCAGAGCUGUGACUGAAAUAGCCUUUAUUUCAUAGAUUAAAGUUUUGCUUAGCGUUUAGGUUAGUUCUAAUCUGAUUCUUUGUCAUUUAUCUGGUAUUUUCAAUUGAUUUUAUUGUGAUUAAACAGAGAUCCAAUUUAAUCUAUUUUGUUGUCUUGUAGUCCUCACCGGCCGAACCAUCCUGGUCAAUUGGCCAUUUAUUUACAUAACAAAAAUUCCAAUACUAUUUUUCUGCUUUUAAGGACCAUUGACAUUACUUAUUUAUUGAACACACAUCUAUUCUAUAUCCAAAGGGAAAUUAGCUCAUCAAUAAAAUGUGACUCUCAUUGUCUUUGAUGCUCUGUACGCGCAUUAGCUCGCAAAAUCUGCGUCAAUCUGGCAUCAGCCUUUAUAAUCAGCCUAGCCUAUUUUAAAACUUAUAUCUUUAUCCAAUGCAAUAACAUGUGCAUUGUUUACAUAUCGUAAAUGGCCUAAGGAUCACAAACCUUUGAUAUUUGUCUAUUCGGCUGCUGAUUUUUCUUUUGUCUGCUUGUUUUUGUUGAUGCCGAUUCUUGGGUUAGCGUUUUCGACGAGUUGCGUCUGCGGUGCUUCACUCUGUGGAAACAUAAUUUCUCUGAGUCAAAAGCGUACUACAGUUUUCAGCUGCUGAUCAUCACGUGAGAAAUUGAUUUCUGUCAAGAUGCAAGUAAUUCCACCACUCAUUAUCCUAUUCAUCUGGAGGUUUUUUUGCCUAACCACCUCUUCCGAAACGAAGCAUUCAACUCCAGAAACAGAAAAAAUUGACGAUGAUGAGUUGAAUCUACUUAAUCAUCUUUUUAACGGCAAUUACAAUAAAGAAGUUCGUCCUGUCAAAAAUAAGUCACUGCCUGUUGAAGUCAAAAUAGACCUGGCCUACACACAGUUGAUUGACUUGGUUGAAAAGGACCAAAUUCUUAUCAGCAACACAUGGCUUCGAUUGUUUUGGGACAAUCAUUUACUCACGUGGAAUGCAUCGAAGUUUGGCGGAAUCAAAUCAGUCAAUGUGGAUCCAGUUAAAGUCUGGUUGCCAGAUAUUGUCCUGUUUAACAAGUUGUUUUAUUUCUCAUUACCAAGUGCCGAUGAGACUCUUGCAAGCGGACAGAUGGAUCAAUUCAAGACGAAGGUCAUUCUCGGUCAUGAUGGGAGCAAUACUUGGUAUUCGCCAACUAUACUUCGAAGCCGUUGUGCAAUUGACAUAGAGUUCUUUCCGUUUGAUGAUCAAAAAUGUGUCAUCAAGUUUGUAAGCUGGACAUACGAUGGCUUAAGGGUAGACUUGCAAAAUAAAAGCUCCAAAGCCGAUAUCAAGUCCUACUUGUCAAGCGGAGAAUUCGAGCUUAUUGAUGCAACGUCAUCAAGAGGUGUGGAAAAAUACAGUUGCUGUCCAGAGCCGUACCCAUACAUAUUAUUUACAAUUCAUAUACGAAGGAAAACACUGUUUUACUUCAACAAUCUCAUCGUCCCUUGUUUUCUUAUAACUGCCCUUGGUUUGCUGACAUUCGUUUUACCGCCAGCCACCGGAGAGAGAGUGACACUCGUUAUAACUACCUUGCUAGCAAUGACUGUUUUUAUGUUAAUGAUAGCAGAAAACACACCAACGACUUCUGAAGUUACUCCACUAAUAGGGAAAUUCUUUAUUGCCUCCAUGGUGAUAAUUGGCUUGUCACUCAUAGCAACUUGUAUUGUUCUGAACCUCUAUGAAUGCAGUCGUUCUGUAGACACAGUACCUGAUUGGUUACGACACAUCUUGAUAGAGGUGCUUGCCCCAUUUUUACGAGUAGACCCUCCAAAAGGAAGGCCAAAUAUUGAAUUUUCCUUGGGCAAGGAAGUCGAGACAGUGGCUGUUAGAAGAGAUGCUAAAACCGAGAUACUCUGCUUGCCACAGAAAGGAUAUUCCGAUAAGAAUCACAUGUCUAGUCAAACGUUAACCUGGAAUUCCAAUCGACACGUGAAUGAUCAUGAAGAAGCCAAAACAAAGGCAAACUGUAUACCAGAAAAACUGGUCGAAGGCCUUGCUAUUCUUGGAGAUCGUGCACGAAAGCAAGAAAAACUAGACGGAAUGACAGAGGAGUGGCAAGCUGUUGCAAAAGUCGCAGAUCGCUUUUUCUUGUUGGUUUUCUUAUUGACAAUCACAGUUACAACGUCUUAUAUAUUCCUUAGCCGGCCUAGCAUUGAGGAGUAAGGCUGCAAAUAAUCAAUAGAGAAAUACGGACGCUUUGGCCUAACAAGGAACCGUCACACACAUCAACGACAGAAUUCUCUCUGGGCGGUCGAUAAAGGAAUUAUUCUCAAUAAAGGAUAGCAUUAACGUUGUUUCACUUUUUUCUGGACCCUGCAUUUUAAAUCUGCAGUCAGCGUUGCUUAAUUUUAUUAAGCUACUGUCUUUAUUCUUCAUAUAUUCAGGUUUUUUCGAUUUCAUUGAUUCCACUUUUUGUAAUUAAUCUGGUUUUGUUAUAAAUCAAGACAAAACUUGUUAUGCAUAUAUUUUUAUGGGGUUUUGCUUGCCAAAUUAUUCUGUGGCUUAAUGUGAAUUUCCUUUUAAAAAAAAGCAGAAAGAUAAGCACAAAUUUUUUACCAUCCAUCAAGGUAAUCAAGCAAUCAACCUAAUCUAAAAUGAUUGAGUCCAGCGUUAAUUAGUUUUUAGUAAGGGAAUUAAUGAUUUUGAAAGUUUCAUCCAAGUUCAAAAUCUCUCUCCAUGUGGACUACAGACAAAACAUUUUCAAAUAGGAUGUUGAGUAAACCUCUGCUAUAACCGGCUGAUUUAACUAUAUUUUUAAGAUUUUCUACUUCCUUUUGUAAUUCAAACCAGUUGAUUUAUCAUGAUUAUUAACCUAGUAAAUUUCCCUGUUUAAAGGCAGUCUGUCCCCUAUUGUGCUCAACUUUAUUUUCACGGGAGUGAAAUUCACGCACCGUUGAGCUUGAUCGAUAAUUAAACGAUUUAAACCAAUCAGAGACAACUUUGAUUCUAGAGCUUUGAAUCAAAUGGCUGUGUUCCCGUUGAAGUGAAGCUGUGGCUAGAAAAACUUUGUUCCCUGUUUUGUUUUUGUGACAGAUAUGUCAACAGCGAAAGGAAAUGCUUCCGUUAUCAUCAUUCAAUUCCAGUAAUUAAAUUUUAUUGCCAUUCCCGAUAGCUUUUUGCGCGCAGUUUCAAAUGCCGUCCACUACCGCAGCUAGGCCAGCCAAAUCCGUCAAGGCGGGAAGACUUAUUGUUCAUAUUAGCCAAUCAUUGAGGGGACAGACUGCCUUUAAAUAGACGCAAGGAGUUGUAGAAGCGAUUUCUAGAGAAAUGUGUUUUCCUAAUUAUCAUAUUGGUAUUAGGAUUCUUUAACGAAUGCGAUGAAUCACUGCUAGAGCUACUGUUGCUGUUCAUUUAAUGAUCUUUCACGAUUCUCUUUAACGAAGUCUUGAAAUAGCUAUAUUGCGUUCUCAACAUUUUGCAAUCAUUUCAAAACAUGCUAGGCCUCCAAGAACGAAGCUGUCCUAAAUCUUACAGAAGCAAUUCAGAAAAAAGCAACACAUUUUCUAGAAAUGUUAGCCACCUUAUCUGCCAGAAGAUUUUUUCAUACUCUUGAUUACAUCUUGAGCAAAGUAUACCCUUUUAUGUUUCACUUUAGGAAAAAUAAGAAGUCCUUGAAAUUUUUAAAAAAAGACUGAUACUUAACCUAGAUCUUCGUAAGUAUGCCACUGGAAAGUUUUUUUCCGCAGCAUUUUUGUUUGAUAUUCUAUGUGGUACAUUUCUUUUAAAGACAUAGUAUUCUCAACAUGUAAUAAUUAUGUUGUAACUAUAAAUUAAACCCCUUUUUAUCACGAUAAGAAGACGCUAGAAGUGAAAUGAUGUCCCAUUUUUUCUCAUGGCAAGUUAGAUUAUCCAAUUCGAUCUUUUAUCUGCCUAAAAAGUAUCCCAGUCUAUUUACAAGCCUUUUCUUGACGAGGAACCCUUUUUUGUUCAUUUUCAUGCUGUCUUAUCUUGUUAAAUCUAUCUUUUUAGGUAAUUGAUAUCUUCUCUGAAUUGGACUGUUUGAAAAAAUAAGAGGAAAAAGCAAGUGUUUUCUAAAAGUGGCGUUUUCCAGAGUUCUAAGGGGCAUGGUCGCAAAAAAUUCUCCGCCACGCCAUUUCCAGCCCACUCACUAGAAUGGUGCGCGGUGCUUGCUCCUGUUUGAGUCUAGUCUGAACAGAAUCUAGAUAGUUUGCAGCUAUAUGGCUAAGGAAAAAAAAUUGGCUAACCCCACACGUCACGCCUUUUUUAAUUGUUUUGUAGACAGUUGUUUAAGCCUGGCUUAUGUAUUAGCUGGAAGAUAAAAGUUUAAACUUUUUAUGGACACUGAGAUGCAAAUAUAUUUAAGCACAGGCUUGCUCGAAGCACCUUAAAUGUUGGAUCCACUAUAACAAACCCUUAUCAACGAUCAAACUGUAAUUAAUCUCUGUGUGAUAAUUGCCCCCAGUGACUUCGGGUGCUCCAGGGGCACGUGCUUCCCAACUUUUCGAAAAAUUCUAAGAGAUUUGAAAAAGCCCCUUUUUUACGACAUGUUGCCCCUAACUGUGCUUCUCCAAAUUUGAAAUCCUUCCAACUUCCUUGAUGGCCCCCCCCCCCGUAUUUGCUGGCACCUCACACUUACUGACUUUUUAACCUUGGUACCAGUGCCUCAUAAAUCCGGGGAUAAAGUAUUGUAGACAGCUGCGGGCUCGAUCUAUGUCUCUGAGACUAAAUAAUGGUACUGAUUUUGACUAAGGCACCCAGGGUACUGAUUUUAACAGGUGCAUAGUAAAGCACCGUUAUGUUGGCCUAUUUACAUAUCGUAAUUCCCUUUUUUAAUUGGUCUUAGUGUGAAUACGUCAUACCAUCGUUAUACGUCAUACCCAUCAUGCCCUUUGUGAUUAGUCACCGUUUUCAAACUUGUUUGUUGUUUUAACAUAUUCUAUGAAUGGCCUUUCAGACUAAAGCAACAAGUUACUUUGAAAGUUUUCAUGUAAUAUUGUGUCUCUUUGCUCAAUGUUUAUAUUAUCAUUGUCGUUGAUUUCUUUAAAAAAUCUUGUUUAAAAACCGUGCAAAUACUUUUUUUGUCGCAAAUCUCUCAAAGAAACUAUUCCUUUAGAGCAUCAAGUAGUAGCCUAUUUUUCUUCUUCAUUUUUUCAAUUCAAAUUCUUUUUCGAACUGAUGACCUUUUCUUUAGACACUUAUUUAAAAAUUAAACUUGGAAUCUGAAAUCCAACGCUACAUUCACGAUAAAAGGUUUAUUUCUAACUCCUUCAGCAGGAUUUUAAUAAUUGAUUAUGUCGUUAAGAAAAAAAUUAAGCAAAGUUUAAGUAAAUAUGGGCUUUGAAAUUAAGCAAAGCUAUUACGAAAGACAAAGGUGAAAUGAAAACAAAAAAAUAGAUUGAAAACUGAUGGGCAAAAAUAUAUUGGUAGAAGAAGAAUUUCUGCAAAGGAAUGCGAAUCGUAUACCCAAGAAAGAGAAGAAUUUCUGUGGAUAUUUCUUGUUAUCAGGUUGACGGAGAACAAGUAAACUAGCCCUGAAAAGAGAUAAGCUGUCAGAAUUCGUCUUUAAAGUGGUAAGGCACUACUUCGUGAUAUUUCAUUACAGAAAACAAGGCCUAAACAGCACGAGCACCUCCCCUUCCCUUAUGAUUAAACUUCCUUCCCUUAUGACUGAUAAGUUAUCAGGAAGUCUCUUCCCUCAUGAUGGCGAAAGUCCCUUCCCUUAAGUUCCUAAGCUCUUCUUGCAUCAUCGACUUUGAUUCUGUAACUUUAAUUGAGGCAAUUUUCUUCCGGUUUCCAUUUUCUUAUCAGCCGCUGUGCAGCAGCGUUACCGCGUGAUUAGUUAUUGGCAAGAAACAAGUAAGGAAGUUGAGAGAUGGAUAAUUGCAAUAUACGAACAGUUGUCAAAGAAAGGCAGCGUUAUAGCAAAUAUUAAAGGAUACAGUUUGAAGUAAUUCGGCUGCUUGAUAUCACGUACUCGCGGAAGAAGCACAGCGAAUAUGACUUGAGAAUAUUCAACCUGAAAGAAAAACAAUGAAGAAGAUGUCUGAAAAAAGAGACAGGCCCACUCCGGCUCCAAGAAAAUCCCAGGCACCAGGCCUCCCACAAAAAACGCAAAAGUAUUUUAAUAUUAUACAUAUUUCACCAUCAUCUGUGAUAUAUAAU